UACGGAAGGCAGCAGUGGGGAAUAUUGCACAAUGGGCGCAAGCCUGAUGCAGCCAUGCCGCGUGUAUGAAGAAGGCCUUCGGGUUGUAAAGUACUUUCAGCGGGGAGGAAGGGAGUAAAGUUAAUACCUUUGCUCAUUGACGUUACCCGCAGAAGAAGCACCGGCUAACUCCGUGCCAGCAGCCGCGGUAAUACGGAGGGUGCAAGCGUUAAUCGGAAUUACUGGGCGUAAAGCGCACGCAGGCGGUUUUGUUAAGUCAGAUGUGAAAUCCCCGGGCUCAACCUGGGAACUGCAUCUGAUACUGGCAAGCUUGAGUCUCGUAGAGGGGGUAGAAUUCCAGGUGUAGCGGUGAAAUGCGUAGAGAUCUGGAGGAAUACCGGUGGCGAAGGCGGCCCCUGGGACGAAGACUGACGCUCAGGUGCGAAAGCGUGGGGAGCAAACGAGGAUUAGGAUACCCGGU
rnacentral:rRNA from 1 species